rnacentral:rRNA from 1 species
AUACGGAGGGUGCGAGCGUUAAUCGGAAUUACUGGGCGUAAAGCGCGCGUAGGCGGUUUGGUCAGUCGGAUGUGAAAGCCCUGGGCUCAACCCAGGAACUGCAUUCGAUACUGCCUGACUAGAGUAUGGUAGAGGGAAGUGGAAUUUCCGGUGUAGCGGUGAAAUGCGUAGAUAUCGGAAGGAACACCAGUGGCGAAGGCGACUUCCUGGGCCAAUACUGACGCUGAGGUGCGAAAGCGUGGGGAGCAAACAGGAUUAGAUACCCCAGUAGUCC